rnacentral:lncRNA from 1 species
GCUAUAUACAGGGGGUACCGUACAGAGUCAAUGUGGAGGCUAUAUACAGGAGGUACUGGUACAGAGUCAAUGUGGAGGCUAUAUACCGGGGGUACCGGUACAGAGUCAAUGUGGAGGCUAUAUACAGGGGGUACCGGUACAGAGUCAAUGUGGAGGCUAUAUACAGGGGGUACCGGUACAGAGUCAAUGUGGAGGCUAUAUACAGGGGGUACCGGUACAGAGUCAAUGUGGAGGCUAUAUACAGGGGGUACCGGUACAGAGUCAAUGUGGAGGCUAUAUACAGGGGGGUACCGGUACAGAGUCAAUGUGGAGGCUAUAUACAGGGGGUACCGGUACAGAGUCAAUGUGGAGGCUAUAUACAGGGGGUACUGGUACAGAGUCAAUGUGGAGGCUAUAUACAGGGGGUACCGGUACAGAGUCAAUGUGGAGGCUAUAUACAGGGG